UGUGUAGGCGGAAACGUAAGCAUCUUGUGAAAUCCCCCGGCUCAACCGGGCAUGGCUUGAUGUACUGCGUUUCUUGAGGCAAGUAGGGGUGCGAGGAACUCUUGGUGGAGCGGUGGAAUGCGUAGAUAUCAAGAGGAACGCCGGUGGUGAAGGCGUCGCACUAGGCUUGUCCUGACGCUGAGACACGAAAGCGUGGGGAGCGAACGGGAUUAGAUACCCCGGUAGUCCACGCCGUAAACGAUGCCUACUAGGUUGUGCGGGUUCUGACGCCGGCACAGCCGAAGCCAAAGUGUUAAGUAGGCCGCCUGGGGAGUACGGUCGCAAGGCUAAA
rnacentral:rRNA from 1 species